rnacentral:lncRNA from 1 species
CAAAUGAGCAGGCAGAGCUGAGACAAGUUUUCAAGAAGAAUGUAGAGCUUUUCUCUGUGUCACUACCAUUCUUACGCUUCCCUGGGCGUCGGCUCUUCCUGGCUGACCCAGCUGCAAGCACGGCCUCCUGGAGAAGCCAGGGGUCCCCAGCACCUGGCCCUGCUCCAUCACUGCAGAGAACACUCCAGUAAGCACUGCUGGAGCCGCUUCAGCUCUCGUGCUGAGCAAGGACACGCUGCAAGCUCCACGUUUUUGUUCCCAGUCUUUCUCAUGCAGCAUUUAAACUAAUUCAAACCUAUUCCCUGCGCGAAUCUUCAAUUUCCCGUCUCAGGAUGAAGGAUGAUUGAAAAUACUGUCUGUGCUUCUCAGAAGGACUUGAUGCGAUCUGUUGCCAGAGAUUUGUCAUUUGGUGGAUGGAGUGUGGGAUGGAACAUAACAGCUCCUGCUGGUGCAUUUGUCACUGCUCCAAGGCGUGAGACCACCCAUGAAGCAAGGGGAGGGAGCCGGAUCAGAGCUCAGGAUGGUCCUCAGGUGGACCAAGGCAGCAUGGAAAUGGCUACAGUGAGAAGAUAAAUGCUCAAGCAAGGCCACCGGGUUCAUGCCAGCACCCAGACACCAGGGCUCUGGUGUCCCCAGCCCACAUGCAGCGAUAUCCAAAAGAGCAUGGGAUGUGGCAGAGGUAACCCAUCAGAGAUGGGCACAUGGGAGUGCAGCAAGAGAUGUUUUGUAAUCGUAAAAGCAACCAACAGUAUUGUAAAGGCUGCAAAGUAGAGACUGGAGAAUGUGUAGCUCCAACAUUCAGCAUGAAUUGGCAAAGCAGGCAUGUGAGUAAUCAUAGAGGGCCAUUGUGCGACUGAGUCCAAACUGUUGUUUGAUGAAAUUACUUCUCUGAAUAAAUCUCACUUAACCUACAGUAAAUACCUCUGAAUAAAAUGUCCAGCCGUAAUAUACAACAUUUUAAAUGACAGAGAAUUUAUCCCAACCUUUGGCAAAUAGUUCAAACAGAUUAUCAAGCUUUCUGUUUAGAACUGUCUUAGUGUUUCUAGCACAAAUUAAUCGGGGUGGAGUGUCUAAUUGCUGGUAACUGGAUCUGUUAUGGCUCCAUGUGCCAAGCUGGCAGCUUCUGUUACCAGAUUCCUGCUUGUCAGAGGCAGCCCUUG